rnacentral:misc_RNA from 1 species
GAUAUGAUCUUUGCAGCGAUAACGGCGUUGAAGGAACGAGAGGGGUCGAGCAAGAGAGCAAUAGCUAAGUACAUAGAGAAAGCCCACACGGGAUUACCACCGACUCACUCAGCCUUGUUGACUCAUCACCUGAAGCGGUUGAAGAGCAGUGGCCUACUUGUGAUGGCGAAGAAAUCUUACAUGCUUCCUAGAUCUGACGCCUCCAACGAUAUUCAAUCUCAGUCUGAGCCGAAUCCUGUUGCCGGCUCUGCUGCCUCUUCUGUCCCUGGGCCUAAGAGGGGUCGCGGCAGGGCU